rnacentral:rRNA from 2 species
UACGAACUGUGCGAACGUUAUUCGGAAUCACUGGGCUUAAAGGGUGCGUAGGCGGUUAUCUAAGUCAGGUGUGAAAUCUCUCGGCUCAACCGGGAAACUGCGCUUGAAACUGGGUGACUGGAGGGAUGCAGGGGUGUGUGGAACUUCCGGUGGAGCGGUGAAAUGUGUAGAUAUCGGAAGGAACGCCAGCAGCGAAAGCGGCACACUGGGCAUCUACUGACGCUGAGGCACGAAAGCUAGGGGAGUGAACGGG